GAGUAAUGUCUGGGAAACUGCCUGAUGGAGGGGGAUAACUACUGGAAACGGUAGCUAAUACCGCAUAACGUCGCAAGACCAAAGAGGGGGACCUUCGGGCCUCUUGCCAUCAGAUGUGCCCAGAUGGGAUUAGCUAGUAGGUGGGGUAACGGCUCACCUAGGCGACGAUCCCUAGCUGGUCUGAGAGGAUGACCAGCCACACUGGAACUGAGACACGGUCCAGACUCCUACGGGAGGCAGCAGUGGGGAAUAUUGCACAAUGGGCGCAAGCCUGAUGCAGCCAUGCCGCGUGUAUGAAGAAGGCCUUCGGGUUGUAAAGUACUUUCAGCGGGGAGGAAGGUGUUGUGGUUAAUAACCGCAGCAAUUGACGUUACCCGCAGAAGAAGCACCGGCUAACUCCGUGCCAGCAGCCGCGGUAAUACGGAGGGUGCAAGCGUUAAUCGGAAUUACUGGGC
rnacentral:rRNA from 1 species